rnacentral:rRNA from 1 species
GACGAACGCUGGCGGCGUGCUUAACACAUGCAAGUCGAACGGAAAGGCCUCUUUCGGGGGGUACUCGAGUGGCGAACGGGUGAGUAACACGUGAGUAACCUGCCCUUGACUUUGGGAUAACUUCAGGAAACUGGGGCUAAUACCGGAUAGGAGCUCCUGCUGCAUGGUGGGGGUUGGAAAGUUUCGGCGGUUGGGGAUGGACUCGCGGCUUAUCAGCUUGUUGGUGGGGUAGUGGCUUACCAAGGCUUUGACGGGUAGCCGGCCUGAGAGGGUGACCGGCCACAUUGGGACUGAGAUACGGCCCAGACUCCUACGGGAGGCAGCAGUGGGGAAUAUUGCACAAGGGGUGGAAGCCUGAUGCAGCAACGCCGGGGGCGGGAGGACGGCCUUCGGGUUGUAAACCGCUUUCGCUCAUGACGAAGCUUUGUGUGACGGUAGUGGGUAAAGAAGCACCGGCUAACUACGUG